rnacentral:lncRNA from 1 species
UUGUUGAUGUGGAUGAAUGUUGAAUGAUCCAUUAGCCCUCAUAUGUUAUGACAUGAUGAUAUGAUAUGGAAGUCCAGGUGUGGCCUGCACUACGCCCCUGGCACUAUGUAAGAGAAAGACCGGAAGUGGCCUGCACUACGCCCCCGGCACCAUGGAAUAUGUAUGUUAUGUUAUGUAUAAAAGAAAGACCAGGUGUGGCCUGCACUACGCCCCUGGCAUGAUUGGAAUAUGUAGAGGGCUAAAUGGUGACAAGUUCAUCCUUGAUAUGAUUAGUUGUGAUGUAAUGCAUUCCAUGAUAGCAUGUGUUUUAAAUGCUUUAUGAUUCUGCUCACUGGGCUCUAGUAGCUCACCCCUCUCCCAAAUUCCCCAGGUUUGCAGGUACGGGUUAGACAGAGAAGUCAAGAAGAGUAAUGAAGUCAUAUGUAUGUAAUAGUUAGAAUGUGGACAUGACAGAUUGUAUAAUGAUGUAUAGAUAUGUAAUGUAAGGAUAUUGAGGUUAGAAGUGUGCUUGACCAUAGUAUAAUGUAAUCCCUUUUUGAAACAUGAUCUUAAUGUUAUUGAUGUCCAUGUUUAGCCAACUCAACACUUGUUAUGCCACCCCUUUGGGGCAUUGAUGAGAUCCUACUGAGGGGUCAAGUUUAUGAUUAUGUAUAUGUUCAGUGCAUGCACAGGUUGAGUUUGGUGUAUGAUAGAAUGUAUAAAAGAAAAGUUUUAAAUUUUUAUGUAUGUUUGUUGAUCAUGUAUGGGAUUAAACAGGUUUACAGGUUACAUGUCAGGCUUGCUACGGGUCCCGGCGACCUUAAGCCGAUCUGGAUCCUAGCGCCAGUAGCGGUCCGAUUUUCGGGUCGUUACAGAGCCUUAGCAAAUCCAAUCAUUGUCCCUGAAGUUCGGUCCUGAAUGAAGCAAUGAUCAUCAGAAAAGAUCAAAGACUGCUGGGUUGAUAAACAUAGUUUACUGACAGAGACUAAAUUACAAUGAAAUGAUGGAACAAAAAGAAUAUUGUCAAGAAUCAACUUGGAGUUCAAUUUAAUAGAACCAACAUGAGUAACAAGAACCUUAGUACCAGUAGCAAAUAAACAUAUACAUUGGAGAUAGGACUGAAAGACACAAAAGCAUCAAGUGAGCAAGCUACAUGGUCCGUAGCACUCGUAUCUAUGAUCCAAUCAUUCUUAGUGAAACUAGAAGUCAAAGCAGUAAAGGCAUGGCAAAUAAGGUUGAGAGAAUUAUGUGGUAUAUUUAAGGAAUACUGUGUUUGGACAGAGUUGAUCAUAGGGGAAGAACUGGUGGUUACAGAUGCAGGUGGUUUGGAAGUAGUUAGUGCAGGAUUAGUAGCAGCAACAUCAAGUACGCUCAGCAUAGACAACCAACGUUGGGCUUGUUCUGAUGUCACAUUGGGAGGAAUCAUAACAACAGUGGGAGUUCUAGAACUAGCAGCUGGUGACGUCCCUCUUAUCCAAUAUUCUUCUCAAAAGAAUCAUUAUAUCCAACACCAACAUUUGAGGAUAGUUGAUUCACCAUCCUAGAUCCUCUUUCUCCUUUAAACUUGAAAGUCAAAGGAAAACCAACAAGCCUGUAACACUUUUCCUUCAAAUGAUCAGGUUUCUUAUAGUAAGAGCCUACCAUAUCAGAUUUCUGCUUCCUAUAACUCGCCCGUGUGAACAAAGCUGAGUUUUCAACCUCUGGAUCUCUAGAGACAUGUACAUUCAAUCGUUGAGAUUCCUCUCGGAUAAUUAAGUUAUACGCCUCAUCCAAGCUAGGAAAAGGACGCAUCAUGAUAGCCUGUGACCUCACAAUGGCAUAAGGCUUAUUCAAUACAUUCAAAAAUUUGAAAACAUAAUCCUUUUGUUGUGAGGUGACAAACUUCUCAAAACAAUCCACCUUGCAACUAUCACACGAACAAUGAGGCAAAGGUCUGUAUGACUUCAGUUCCUCCCACAUAGAUUUAAGUUCAUUAAUAAACAUCCAUAGAACGAGUGUAACGACCCGAAAAUCGGACCGCUACCGGCGCUAGGAUCCAGGUCGGCUUAAGGCCGCCGGGACCCGUAGCAAGCCUAACAUGCAUCCUGUGAACCUGAUUAAUCCCAUACAUGAUCAACAACAUACAUAAAAAUUAAAACUUUUCUUUCAUUCAUUCUCUCAUACACCAACUCAACCUGUGCAUGCACUGAACAUAAACAUAAUCAUAAGCCUUGGCCCCUCUGUGGGACCUCAUCAAUGCCCCCAAUGGGUGGCAUAACAUGUGUUGAGUUGGUUUACAUAAGCAUUACAAAACAUCUAAGAUCAUGUAUUAAAAGGGAUACCAUACACAUAGGGUCAAGCACAAUCUCUAAUCCUCAAUGUCAUUACAUUAUAUAACUAUUCACAAUUCUACAUCAUUAUACAAUUUGUCAUGUCUACAUUCUAGCUAUUACAUACACAAGACUUCAUUACUCUUGCUGACCUCCUGGUCUACCCUGUACCUGCAAGCCUGGGGGUUAAGGGAGAGGGGUGAGCUACAAGAGCCCAGUGAGCAGAAUAAUAAAACAUUUGAAACAUAUGAUAACAUGAAAUGCAUCACAUCACAGCUAAUCACAUCAAGGAUGAAUUUGUCACCAAUAGUCCUCUACAUGGUCCAACUGUGCCAGGGGCGUAGAAUGGGCCUCACUGGUCUUUCUCUUACAUAAUCAUAACAUAGCAUAACAUAAUAUUCCAACUGUGCCAGGGGCGUAGAAUGAGCCUCACUGGUCUUUCUCUUACAUGGCGCCAGGGGCGUAGAAUGGGCCUCACUGGUCUUCCGUACCGUAUCAUCAUCAUAUCAUAACAUAUGAGGACUAAAGGAUCAUUCAACAUUCAUCCGCAUCAUCACCAUAUUAUGCAAUGCAACAUAUUCGUGAGUUCUAAUGCAAGCACCCUAUUAUAUCUCAUGGCAUUCAUGAUGCGUGAAUCAUGCUAAAACUGGUUUAUUUAUUUAAAAGCAUAAGAGUUAUUCCACUCACCUCUGGCGGAAGCUCUACUGACUCAGAAGCAGCUGAACUCACUGCUGGGGUCCUCGGUUCCUCGGGUCCGAACCUACACAGGUGGACUCAAAUGAGGGACCAAACAACUAGAACAUAACUCUAAAAACAUCCCCCAAAAACCCUCUAGAACAUCAUGAAAUAAUCAUAGAAAAUCAUGCAAAAGAGGGCUGGACAGGGCACUUUCGGCGGCAGGUUCGGCGGCCGAAAGUCCCUCUAGAGCCGAAAGUCAGGCAGGUUCGGCGGCACCUUCGGCUGCCGAAACUCCCAGACAAAGGCGAAACUCAUGCAUGUUCGGCGGCACUUUCGGUGCCCGAAACUCCCAGACAGAGACGAAAGUCUCCUUUCGGGGGCAAGUUUCGGCAGCCGAAGGCUGCUUCCACAAGCAUGUUCGGCGGCCGAAAGUUCCUUCGGCUGCCGAACUUGGUUUCUCCCUUAGUGGCAGAAACUCAGCUCUUCUAUGCAUAUACGCCUCCAAAACUUCCCAAACAUGCACAAACCUAUUCUACCACACAUACACAAGCAUACCAGCUCCUAGGGGCUUCAAACUAUCCUAAGCCCCAUCUGCAACACAUCAAACAUGCAUUUGCAAGCCACAUUGUUCAAAAACACAACAUAAACUCAUAAACCUAACUAUAAGCUAAACAUGCAUUCUACCCCAUAGAUCUUCAUAAAACUUACUUAAAACAUGCAAUGAGCUUAAGAUCGGCUCUUACCUCUUGAAGAUCGAGAGAGAGACGACCUAAUCUUGGAGAUGGGAGAUUUUCAACUUCCUUGGGUCUCCAAGCUCAAAACUUGCUCAAAACUUGAAAAUCUUCAAAACAAGAUGAAAACUUGUGAAAAUCGUGAAAGAUUUGAAGGAAGAACUCAAAGAUUGGUGAGGGACGGCGGAGAGCUCACCUUGGCAGAAAAUGGGGAGAAAAGCUCGCCCAUUUCGGCUAAGGGACCCUUUUAUAGUGGCUGGCCAGGCCACGUUCGGGGGCCGAACGUGCCUCCGCAUGCAUGCCAUGUUCGGCGGCCGAAUUUGAGGUUCGGCGGCCGAACCUGGACUUCCCUCACUUAUGCCUUCGGGGGCCUAAGGUACACCCGAAAUGCCUGCAUGUUCGGCGGCCGAACCUGGAUUUUCCUCCAAGGUUAUUUUCAUGCAAAAACUCAUUUCCUUUCAUGCUUAAAACAUAAAACACAUUAAAACAUUUUAUGAAAACAUGGUUUUUACCCUUCUAGAGGUCUCCGACAUCCGAGAUUCCACCGGACGGUAGGAAUUCCGAUACCGGAGUCUAGCCGGGUAUUACAACGAGUAUCUUAAGAAAUAGAGCACAAGUGUUGUUGCAGAUGACGGAUCCUCACGUCAUCAGGUUGUGAGAAUCGUCUUUUAAGCACAUCCCAGAUUUGUGUUGCCGAGGAGAAGUAAAACACCGUAGAUGCAAUGGGUUUCGAGAUAAACUUCAAAAGCCAAGCCAUAAGAAGAUUAUUGCAUCUCACCCAUGCAUAAUACAAAGGAUCGGUGGUUGCAGGAUAAGAAAUCGAUCCAUCUAUAAAGCCAGUUUUAUUUCGUAUGGAGAGAGUAAGGAGAAAGGAUCUACUCAAUGCUGAAUAAUUAACAGAUGUUAAUUGAGGCAUAAUGACUAUAGAAGUGUGACUUUCAGAAGAAUGAUGAAGAUAGUAUGGAGAAUGAGGAUUAUCUAGUUGUGACGUUUUAUCUUAAAAUGGAAUAACGUUUUCUGCCAUUGUUGAUAAUAAAAAACCAAAGCAAAGGAAGAAAUAAAAUAAAAGGGCAAAAGAACAGAAUCCCAGAAGGAUUACCUGCUCUGAUACCAUAACAAAUGAGCAAGAAUAAUAAGAGGAUGCAAAGCAAACAAAAAUCGAAGAGAGUAAUGAACGUGAUUUUCAUUCUAUUACAAAAGGAACAAUACAAUGUUCUGUUUGUACUAAACAAUGAUGAAAACACGAGAAACGAAAUAAUAAACCCGUAACAAACUACUAUAGGACAAAUGGGAAUACAGUGACCUGGCACUAAACAUUUUGCAGGUCCACUAAAAAAUGAAAGAAUAACAGAAACGUCAUUGUAACUAUACAAAGUAACUAUACAAAGAUGCAGAGCAAUCCUUUGUGAACAUUUUGUAUUAACCAAUUUCCUUCUGAUAGUACUCACAUGAAAAUUUGAGGGGAUGGAUCAACACAAGAGAAGUAGAAACCACCUCAACUUUGCUCUAUGAUUCAUCAAUGAUGAUUCAGGAACAAAUUCUAUGAAGUUUUCCAUGGCAAAUUUGAUGACCAAGUUGCUGCAAUGAUGCAAUUUUUAAUAGGAAAGAUUUCAUUUUCUCUCCAGGUAUUAGGUUCUUCAUGAUCUUAGAUUUUUUGGAAGUCAAUAUGUAAUACCCAGCUAGACUCCGGCGUCGGAAUUCCAAUCUUCCGACGGAAUCUUCGUUGGAAUUCGGAAUCUCGGAUAUCGGAACCUCUGGAAGGGUAAAAUAUGUUUUUACAAAAUGCUUUUAUGGUUUUAAUGUUAAGUUUUUGAAUUAAAUUCUUUAAAAAGAAGAAAAUGUUUUUGAGGGAUAAGCCCAGGUUCGGCCGCCGGACCUCAUGUUUGGCCGCCGAACAUAGUGCUGUCGCGGGAGCUCUUUCGGCCCCCGAAGGUGGUUUGGUCAGCCACCUAUAAGAGGCCUCCAGUCCGAAAACGGGCGAGUUUUCUCUCCAUUUUCGGGCAAAUGUGAGUUUUUGCCCUCCCCUUGAUGAUUUUAUGAUUUUCUUUCAAAUCCUUGAAUAUUUUCACGAGUUUUCUCUUGUCUUUGAAGAUCUAAGCUUAAACCCGAGUUUUUGAAGCCUUGGAGACCGUUUGACUCAUCUCCACGUUGGGGUUGCUGUCACUCCUAGAUCUUCAAGAGGUAGGCCUAGAUCCUUGCCUCUCUUAUGUUUUUAAUUAAGUUUUGUGAAGGUUUAAGGAGUAAAGAUGCACGUUAUGGUUGGAUCUAGAGCUAUAGGGUUGGAGUUGGGUUUUUGAUGAAUGUAUGCUCCCUCUUAUGUUUUAUUGUUGUUUGUUGGGGUUUAGGUUAGUUUUUAUGCCCCUUAUGCAUGUUGGAGUGAGUAUGCAUGUUUUAGGAAGUUGGGUGUGAGGAUUUGAGAGUUUGGGGUUGAAAUGCAUGUGGCAGAAUCGGGUUCUGCCAUUCUGGCGAAUCCAGGUUCGGCCGCCGAACCUGCAUGGGAGGCAGCCUUUUGGCCGCCUAACAUGCCCCCGAAAGCAUGCACUUUCGGACCUGGAAGGGAGUUUCGACCGCCGAACCUGUCUCCGAAGGACCCCGACUUUCGGAUCUAUAGAGGACCUUCGGCCGCUGAACCUACCGCCGCCGAAAGUCCUCUACCCAGCCUUCCUUUGCUCGUUUUAUGUGCAUGUUUUGUGAUGUUUUAGAGGGUUUUUGGGGAGAUGUUUAGAGUCUUGCUAGAGUUAUGUUUGGUCCCUCACUUGAGUCCAUCAAUGUAGGAUCGGACCUGAGAUAUCGAAGAGACCAGCAGUGAGUCAGCUACUUCAGUGUCAGUCAAAACGUCAGCCAGAGGUGAGUAGAACUGAACUAUAUUUUUUAAAAGUAACUAAAUUUUUAAGCAUGUUCAUGCAUCACGAAUGCCAUGUUAUGUAAUAAGUUGUAUUGCAUUAGAAUUCACGAAUAUGAUGCAUUGCAUAAUUUGCUGUUGUUGUGGAUGGAUAUUAGAUGACCCACUAGCCCUCGAUAUGAUAUGAUAUGGUAUGAUACGGAAGUCCAGGUCGAGACCCAUUCUACGCCCCUGGCACAGUUGGAUAUGUUAUGUUAUAUUUAAGAGGAAGUUCUGAGGAGCUCCGUCGAGGGCCGGGCAUUAUUUGGAUUAUGUAGAGAGUUACUGGUGACAAGUCCAUCCUUAAUGUGAAUUGUCUGUAUUGUGAUGCAUUUCAUGCGAGCAUAUGUUUAUUUAAACUGUUUUUAUGGUUCUGCUCACUAGACUCUCGUAGCUUAUCCCUUUCCCCUAACCCCCAGGUUUGCAGGAUCAGAGUUAGCUCGGGAAGUCGGCUUGAGGCGGGUAUAGUUUAUGUAAUAGAUAGUAAUGGACAUGUAAUUUUUAAUGGAAUAGAUUUGUGUUUUGCCCUAAUUUAUGUUGUUAAUCCCAGUGAACAUGUUUUUAUGUAAAAGUUUUUAUAAUGAGUUAUGUUGAACCAAACUUGAUCUAUGUGAUGUUGACCAUACUAGAGCAUUUGAUGAGAGCUCUAGUAUGGGUUUUAUGUAUACAGUUUAUGUUGAAUACACAGAUCGAGCUUGGUAUAUGGAAAAGUUUAAAAUUUUU